GUUCAGACUCCAUUUUAAACUGGACAGAGCAGUCAGAGGAAUACAGGUCGUCUGAGACACGUUUUCUCAGAUUUGGGAAGAUGGUUGAUUUGGAGGCAGACGGGGACAGAUCAGAGUCUCCAGUGUCCAGCUGUCAGCUGUCUUUGAAGAGUGACCGCAGUAAACCUCUUUCUCUAAACUUCAGUAAUGAACCUGGACCCUCAGACACAAAACAGAGAGCAGAGUCUCCAGUGUCCAGCUGUCUGUCUAUGAAGAGUGACUGGUCCAAAGAU